rnacentral:rRNA from 1 species
GACGAACGCUGGCGGCGUGCUUAACACAUGCCAGUCGAACGGAAAGGCCCUGCUUUUGUGGGGUGCUCGAGUGGCGAACGGGUGAGUAACACGUGAGUAACCUGCCCUUGACUUUGGGAUAACUCCAGGAAACUGGGGCUAAUACCGGAUAGGAGCUCCUGCUGCAUGGUGGGGGUUGGAAAGUUUCGGCGGUUGGGGAUGGACUCGCGGCUUAUCAGCUUGUUGGUGGGGUAGUGGCUUACCAAGGCUUUGACGGGUAGCCGGCCUGAGAGGGUGACCGGCCACAUUGGGACUGAGAUACGGCCCAGACUCCUACGGGAGGCAGCAGUGGGGAAUAUUGCACAAUGGGCGGAAGCCUGAUGCAGCAACGCCGCGUGCGGGAUAACGGCCUUCGGGUUGUAAACCGCUUUCGCCUGUGACGAAGCGUGAGUGACGGUAAUGGGUAAAGAAGCACCGGCUAACUACGUG